UACGUAGGGUCCGAGCGUUGUCCGGAAUUACUGGGCGUAAAGAGCUCGUAGGUGGUUUGUCGCGUUGUUCGUGAAAACUCAUAGCUCAACUGUGGGCGUGCGGGCGAUACGGGCAGACUGGAGUACUGCAGGGGAGACUGGAAUUCCUGGUGUAGCGGUGGAAUGCGCAGAUAUCAAGCGGAACACCGGUGGCGAAGGCGGCCUUCUGGACAGUGACUGACGCUGAGACGCGAAAGCGUGGGGAGCAAACAGG
rnacentral:rRNA from 1 species